rnacentral:rRNA from 1 species
GAUGAACGCUGGCGGCGUGCCUAAUACAUGCAAGUCGAGCGAACGGACGAGAAGCUUGCUUCUCUGAUGUUAGCGGCGGACGGGUGAGUAACACGUGGAUAACCUACCUAUAAGACUGGGAUAACUUCGGGAAACCGGAGCUAAUACCGGAUAAUAUUUUGAACCGCAUGGUUCAAAAGUGAAAGACGGUCUUGCUGUCACUUAUAGAUGGAUCCGCGCUGCAUUAGCUAGUUGGUAAGGUAACGGCUUACCAAGGCAACGAUGCAUAGCCGACCUGAGAGGGUGAUCGGCCACACUGGAACUGAGACACGGUCCAGACUCCUGCGGGAGGCAGCAGUAGGGAAUCUUCCGCAAUGGGCGAAAGCCUGACGGAGCACCGCCGCGUGAGUGAUGAAGGUCUUCGGAUCGUAAAACUCUGUUAUUAGGGAAGAACAUAUGUGUAAGUAACUGUGCACAUCUUGACGGUACCUAAUCAGAAAGCCACGGCUAACUACGUG